rnacentral:rRNA from 1 species
GCCCAGACUCCUACGGGAGGCAGCAGUGGGGAAUAUUGGGCAAUGGGCGCAAGCCUGACCCAGCAACGCCGCGUGAAGGAAGAAGGCUUUCGGGUUGUAAACUUCUUUUGACAGGGAAGAGCAGAAGACGGUACCUGUCGAAUAAGCCACGGCUAACUACGUGCCAGCAGCCGCGGUAAUACGUAGGUGGCAAGCGUUGUCCGGAUUUACUGGGUGUAAAGGGCGUGUAGCCGGGCUUACAAGUCAGAUGUGAAAUCCGGGGGCUCAACCCCCGAACUGCAUUUGAAACUGUAGGUCUUGAGUAUCGGAGAGGCAGGCGGAAUUCCUAGUGUAGCGGUGAAAUGCGUAGAUAUAAGGAGGAACACCGGCGGCGAAGGCGGCCUGCUGGACUGAAACUGACGUUGAGGCUCGAAAGCGUGGGGAGCAAACAGGAUUAGAUACCCCGGUAC